rnacentral:tRNA from 1 species
UGACCCGACGCUGUGGCCGCAGCGCGAGGCGCUCAAGUCGGCGCUGCAGUACCCGGCGCUGGCCGGGCCGGUGUUCGACACGCUGACGGUCGA